CAAAGGGCCCGGGGAGAAGGCAGAACAGCAGGGAAGUGUGGUAAACAGUGGGUUUAACAAGACCAAAGCAUCAGUCAUCUGGAUAAAUGUGAAUAAAUCUGGCCAAAUACGGUUGACGUAAGUCAGCUAAAUGAAAACUAAAGAAGCCUCAGGAAACCCCUGGUUUUGUGCUGGACGGCUGAGCUGGUCGGUUUGAGGGGACAGUGGCAAACUGAGUCCCGUUCCCUGACAUGUGUUUGCGCAGGGGCCAGAAGGACAGUCACACACACAGAGGCCUGGGAAGGAGCUGGCCUCUUGCAGAAUUGGUACCCAUGGGCCCGAGGGAGGCACCUGUCAGCCAACUCUUGGAGCACACUCCUGCGUUAAAACAUCCUUUCCCACCUCUCUCACACAGAGCACCUGUCUCUUGCGGGGCUGUCCCAGACCCCCAAGCAUCAUUCUGACCAGAUGUGCAUUCUCCUCCAGGAGAACCCCUCUCAAACCAGGCAGCCCGGGGCCACCAAAAAUCACUGAGGGGCUGAGCAACUUCUUUAUCCAAAAGCACUUUAAAAUGCUCAAAGUAUUCUAAUCAUUCCGUUCACAAGCAGGAUUCUUAUCUUUCACAUGAGCAUGGCUGUGAUUUGCUCGGACACACGGUGACUCUGACUCAGCGAGGACAAGCACCCCCCUCCAGUCCCCUCCCACGGCCCAUCCCGCACCCACCCCUGCAGUGUUGCACAGGAGCACGUUGCUUCUUGUGUUGAACCGUGGUAGCUUUGCCAGGCAAGAAUCUUACCAGCUUAUAAUUACAAACGAUGCACUGUGAUUGGUUCCCUCAUAAGCAGGUAACACUUCUGAAGUGAAGGGUCCCCAACAGGAGCAGCUCAGGCUAUAAAACCCUUGGAGCCUUAAUGAAACAAGGACCUUAAGAGACAGAGGCUGGUCUGAGGGCAGAGGGUGUGCAGAGGGAGGGCUCUUUCCAGCAUGGGGGUGGGAGGGCAGAAUGGGGUGGAAGAGGAGAGUUCAGAGAGGGAGAAUUAAAAUUGCAUUCAUUCAUCUGUUCAUUCACUCAGUCACCUAGCACCGAACAUACCAUGCAGUGCUGACACCAGCUGUGCCCACAGUCUAGCUGGGGAGACGGACAAGUCAGGGGACAACUGCAAAGCCAGGGGAUCAGCGAGGCUGGGUCGCCUCAGGCCAAUUUCAUUUGGCCUUAGUUUUCCGAAGCGCCUCAAGGAGAAAGAAGGCAAAGACUUUGAGCUCUGGGGAUGAAAGGCUCAGACCACCACUCCCUGUAAAACAGGGCGGAUGACGCCGCUGCUCUGUUUGGCGGACCGCUGGUGCCCGGCCACCAGCCCCAGCUCCUCCUCGCCCUCUUCUGCUAUCAGGCCAGGAUCCAUCCCAGGUGGCAAAGGCAUCUGAUAGCUGCCCUGGACCAGCACGCCCUGCACUUCUCGGGUACCCAGCCCCUCAUGUUUCCAGGCCAAAAGAGUAGUUUCCAAUGUGGCAGCUGGAUCAAGGGGACACUUCACGGCCUCCCUGACAUGCGUGAGGACAGUCCGCACAAUAGAAGGGGACUCGCAGCCCGCUCACUCCCCUCGCUUCCCAGGCUGUUGAAGGGGCACCUGUUGCUACAUGGGCUCUGGGAUGCCAUGAGCCAGAUGGCACCCCCGGGCUUGUACGAACACCACCUCUGCCAGGCGAGGCCAGGAAUGGCCCCAGGGCGCCUGGAGGGCACACCCUUCGCUUGGCCCAACCGGAAACAAGUCUCCUUUUUCCUCUCUCACCACGCCCCUUCUUCCUCUUUUCCUUCCCCCCAGCCCAGGCCUGGGGCCUGCCUACCUGUGUCCUGCUCAGACAGACCACCCCAGGGCCUGACCCCGCCUCCUUUCUAGAGCCCCCAAACACCCGGAUUCAGCCUCCAUAACCAGCUACAGUUGCCCGGGAAACAGCUGCCAGAGGAGAACGGGGCAUGUAGACAGCUCACACUCUCCAGGGAGGCGGCAGCCUCGUAAAUGCACGGACAUUAGGCACGGCUGAGAGGUAACCUUGCCUACGUGUUUCAGAAGAGGACACACACCUGGGGGUUACCCUAUCUUCUUAACAGUUCAUUUGUGUGCAUUAAGUAAUUAAUUCACUUAUCUGAUUUGCAGAAUGAUGCCUAAAGGUUGGUCUUCUGGAUCGUCAACAUCCAACCUCUGGGUGAGGUUUUAGAAUUAGCACCUUCCUCAAUUAGGAAGAUGCCUUUCUGCACCCUUCACGCCUGAGUCCCCAGGGAUGGGGGCUCACUGAGCUCUACCCCCAGCUCCCCAGGGAACCGGGCUUGGGGAUCCCAGUCUGAGGCCCCUACACUACCACCUCUGCUUGACACUCACCCCAAAGGCCACAGGCCUCACCAACCCAAGCCCCACAGCCGCAGGCUCUGGGGUGCCUCGCUGGCCCUGACUCCCGAAAAAGCAUGGCUUUCAGGAAAGCCGGGCAAUGUCUGGAAAGUCAAUCAGGAGGAACUGGGGAAAGGCCAAGGACUCAGCCUCAGUGAGGACCACAGCGAACAGGAACAGGGAGGCUGGACCCAGCUCUGCAGGGGAAACACAGUACCUCUCACAUCCGAACUCUCCCUGCGCUUCUCCUUCAAAGUGCUCCCUUCCCGCCCCACUCCCUCUGCCAGCACUUCAGCUCCCGUGUCCUCUCUAAGCUGCGCUGUGAGACUAACGGAGCACCCACGGCUGACAAGCCUAGCCAGGCCGCACAGGACCAGCAGGGCCAGGCGGAUAGGCAGGCAUGCGGCCAGCACGCCUAGGUCCACAGCGCCUCACUGAGCCUCCUGGAGGGUCCUGGGCAAGGACUCCUGGUUACAGGUUUUGCAGAGGAGUUGGGGAGGCCGCUGGCUGGGCUCUGUCUCUCGGAGCCCUGGGGUUUUAGGAUGGGCAGCCCUGCCUUCCCCACUGCCCUGCGGCGGCGUCCUGCCGGAGGUGGGCAGAG